rnacentral:rRNA from 1 species
AUGUUUUCACAAGCAACUUUUGGAGGGAUCUGUUCAAACUAUGGGACACCAAGUUGCAUGUCUACUGCAUACCACCCACAAACUGAUGGUCAGAGUGAGAGAGUCAAUCAGUGCUUGGAAAUGUAUUUGAGGUGUGCAGUACAUGAUACUCCAACCAAAUGGCAGACUUGGCUUUCUCUUGCUGAAUUCUGGUACAAUACCAAUUUCCAUACUUCCUUGGGGUGCUCUCCUUUCAAGGCCUUGUAUGGGUAUAAUCCUAGCUAUGGAUUCUUUUCUUCUCUGCUCCAAUCUGACAACAUUGAAGUUGAACAGUGGCUCAGGGAACACCAGGCUCACUCAGCAGUCUUAAAAGCUAACUUAAUGAGAGCUCAAGCAAAAAUAAAACACUAUGCAGAUGCUCGCAGAUCGGACAGAUCAUUUUCAGUGGGUGACUAUGUGUAUCUGAAGCUCCAGCCAUAUGCUCAACAUUCUGUGGUCAACAGGCCGUGUCCUAAGCUGGCAUAUAAGUACUAUGGGCCAUUUGAGGUCUUGGAAUGCACUGGACCAGCAGCGUACAAGUUAUUGCUGCCUGAGGGUGCACAAAUCCACCGAGUGUUCCAUGUAAUUUGGUUCCUGUGCAAGUCCUCGAACGGAAGAUGGUGA